AGGAUGAACGCUGGCGGUCUGCUUAACACAUGCAAGUCGAACGGGCGUAGCAAUACGUUAGUGGCGGACGGGUGAGUAACGCGUGAGAAUCUACCUUCAGGACGGAGACAACAGUUGGAAACGACUGCUAACCCCCGAUGUACUGAAAAGGCAAAUAUUUAUAGCCUGAAGAAGAGCUCGCGUCCGAUUAGCUAGUUGGAGAGGUAAAAGCUCACCAAGGCGACGAUCGGUAGCUGGUCUGAGAGGACGAUCAGCCACACUGGGACUGAGACACGGCCCAGACUCCUACGGGAGGCAGCAGUGGGAAUUUUCCGCAAUGGGCGAAAGCCUGACGGAGCAAGACCGCGUGGGGGAAGAAGGCUCUUGGGUUGUAAACCCCUUUUCUCUGGGAAGAAAGUUGUGAAAGCAGCCUGACGGUACCAGAGGAUCAGCAUCGGCUAACUCCGUGCCAGCAGCCGC
rnacentral:rRNA from 1 species